CUACAGGGGUAUCUAAUCCUGUUCGCUCCCCGCGCUUUCGUGCCUGAGCGUCAGUACCCGUCCAGCUAUCCGCUUACGCAUCCGGUGUUCCUCGUGAUAUUUACGCAUUUCACCGCUACACCACGAAUUCCGAUAGCCUCUCCGGGACUCAAGACCUGCAGUAUCAAAGGCAGUUCACCGGUUAGGCCGGUGGCUUUCACCUCUGACUUACAGGCCCGCCUGCGCACCCUUUACACCCAGUGAUUCCGGACAACGCUUGGACCCUCCGUAUUACCGCGGCUGCUGGCAC
rnacentral:rRNA from 1 species